UUUAGCAAACAAACAGUUCUCUGUUUAAGGAAAUAAGGAAAUAAGGAAAUUAUUAUAACUACAUAUUGCCUAUUGCCAUUAAUUGCCAUUAAUCUUCACAGAUUCCUUCAAGUUCCAGAGUGUCUGGGACUGCUGCAGUCUGUGAAGGAACACCCAGACCUUUUCAACCUUUUUUUUUCUCAAAAAAAGUAAAAAAUGUCACUGCUGAAAGCUUAAUUGAGCUGUUCAAGCCAUGCUUUGCUCAUACUGGCAGCAACAGGAGGAGGGCUGAAGCAAAAGCUUAUAGAUUCUUCAAGGACUGGCUGCUAAAUGUUGAGUCAAUGGAGAGGUAUGCGGUGCACUGCCUUAUUUGCAACCAUCCUCAGAAAUGCAUGACAUCCCCACCUGAAGAGGGUCUGCAUGAGAGGAAGCGCCCAGCAGAGAGGGAAGAAUGUGGGACUUUACUGACCUGGAGGAGUAUUGUAAAGAUCUGGCAGUAUGCCAGAAUUUACGCAGCGUCCUCCAGAGCAGGGGCUUCAUAAUCGUUAACAGUCCUGAAGCAGACAGACAGAGGCCAGUCUCUGGGUAUAGUCUCUGGCACUCCCUCAGAGGAAAGGGUGCAGUUGGCGUUGGACAAAGAGACGAUGUGGACCAUCAACCCAAAGUCCAAGACAUUAUGAGGGCCUAGGUUGCACCACCAGAACAGCAACUCCAUAAAAGGAAAUCCGUCAUCGCUUCAAUCGUGUAAUAGAAGUGGAAGGGCCUAGCCUUAAGGGAUUUUGAAGCCAUGAAGGGAAGGGGUAAGCAUGCAGCUGAGUCAUGUGCCGUGGUAUGUGAUGCAGCGCUUUGAGUACCACUAUGUAGACCAGCGCUAUACAAGUCUCUUACCAUAUUUCCUCAUAAAUGGCCUAAAUCUUUUAUUCAUUCUUCAAUUUGUUCACAGGCGUUGUAGCGAAUAUGCCCUUCAGCAAAUGAGAUGUGAUCUGUGAUUACCACGGCACCAUAACUUCAGAAGAAGGGAGGCAGAAGGAGCAGUCUGGCUUCCUCUUUUUCUUUAAGGGACAGAAGGGGGACGCGCUCUGCUGUGACGCCACUGCAUCCUCAUGCACAUGCCAUCCUG
rnacentral:lncRNA from 1 species